rnacentral:rRNA from 1 species
GACGAACGCUGGCGGCGUGCUUAACACAUGCAAGUCGAACGGAAAGGCCCUGCUUUUGUGGGGUGCUCGAGUGGCGAGCGGGUGAGUAACACGUGAGUAACCUGCCCUUGACUUUGGGAUAACUUCAGGAAACUGGGGCUAAUACCGGAUAGGAGCUCCUGCUGCAUGGUGGGGGUUGGAAAGUUUCGGCGGUUGGGGAUGGACUCGCGGCUUAUCAGCUUGUUGGUGGGGUAGUGGCUUACCAAGGCUUUGACGGGUAGCCGGCCUGAGAGGGUGACCGGCCACAUUGGGACUGAGAUACGGCCCAGACUCCUACGGGAGGCAGCAGUGGGGAAUAUUGCACAAUGGGCGGAAGCCUGAUGCAGCAACGCCGCGUGCGGGAUGACGGCUUUCGGGUUGUAAACCGCUUUCGCCUGUGACGAAGCGUGAGUGACGGUAAUGGGUAAAGAAGCACCGGCUAACUACGUGCCAGCAGCCGCGGUGAUACGUAGGGUGCGAGCGUUGUCCGGAUUUAUUGGGCGUAAAGGGCUCGUAGGUGGUUGAUCGCGUCGGAAGUGUAAUCUUGGGGCUUAACCCUGAGCGUGCUUUCGAUACGGGUUGACUUGAGGAAGGUAGGGGAGAAUGGAAUUCCUGGUGGAGCGGUGGAAUGCGCAGAUAUCAGGAGGAACACCAGUGGCGAAGGCGGUUCUCUGGGCCUUUCCUGACGCUGAGGAGCGAAAGCGUGGGGAGCGAACAGGCUUAGAUACCCUGGUAGUCCACGCUGUAAACGGUGGGUACUAGGUGUGGGGUCCAUUCCACGGGUUCCGUGCCGUAGCUAACGCUUUAAGUACCCCGCCUGGGGAGUACGGCCGCAAGGCUAAAACUCAAAGGAAUUGACGGGGCCCCGCACAAGCGGCGGAGCAUGCGGAUUAAUUCGAUGCAACGCGUAGAACCUUACCUGGGUUUGACAUGGAUCGGGAGUGCUCAGAGAUGGGUGUGCCUCUUUUGGGGUCGGUUCACAGGUGGUGCAUGGCUGUCGUCAGCUCGUGUCGUGAGAUGUUGGGUUAAGUCCCGCAACGAGCGCAACCCUUGUUCACUGUUGCCAGCACGUUAUGGUGGGGACUCAGUGGAGACCGCCGGGGUCAACUCGGAGGAAGGUGGGGAUGACGUCAAGUCAUCAUGCCCCUUAUGUCCAGGGCUUCACGCAUGCUACAAUGGCUGGUACAGAGAGUGGCGAGCCUGUGAGGGUGAGCGAAUCUCGGAAAGCCGGUCUCAGUUCGGAUUGGGGUCUGCAACUCGACCUCAUGAAGUCGGAGUCGCUAGUAAUCGCAGAUCAGCAACGCUGCGGUGAAUACGUUCCCGGGGCU